UUUCCAUCCAUCUCCUGUAACUGUAACAUCUGAACUUGCAUAUCACAAGGAAAACCCUGGCUGCAAGGCAAGAUGUCCAGAUUAUAUUCAUAAGUCUGUAAAACUUUUUGGAUUAAUUAGCUCUCUUCCUAAGAGUCUAGACUGGAUGUGACUUUGAAAACUUGGCCUAGGAUUACAGAAGUGUAGACCAGAUUUAUGAGAUUGGACUAUGAGUAGAAGGCUGAAUUUUCCGCGUGAAAAUUUGUCUGUAUCAGAUUUACAUAGACAAAAGGCUAUUUUAUAAAUUCUGCCAUGACUAAAAGCUGGCAAAGCCAGUGGAAGCUGGGUUCCAGAUUACUGAAUCUUUUCACCUUGUUAGCUGCUGCUCUCAAAACACCAGUCUCAUGUUUAGCUCUCAACAUGCGGCACCACGUGGCUCCUGGAGACUGUUCAUCAGAGGGAUGAAGCUUUCUUUCCUUCUAGAGUUCAGACACCCACAGGCACCACUGCUUCUGGGACAGCUGUCACUGCCUUGGAGAAGCAGGUUGGGGAAGGAGAAGGCUCUUUGCAACCCUUUUCCCUACUACUGAAAUGUGACAAUGUCCAAGUGUGCCUAAGAUAAAUGACCCAUUUCAGGUUUAUCAGGUUUACCAUUCUGGAAACACACACAUAAAUUUCAGAGACCUAAACAAUUAAAGGAAAAAAAAUUGCUACCCUGUUGUCAUCUAUGAUACACUGUGAUACCUGUGCAUGCUGGGACAUGAACUGUAUGUAUGAAAUUUCCAAUAUUUUUCAGAUAUUUUUCCCAUGUCACUGAUGAUAAUAAUAAAGUUCUACUUUCUUUUAAAUCUAUGUGAAUUAGCUCACACAGAGUUAAAAGAACAAUCUCAGAAGAUAACCCAUGACCGAAAAUCUAGUUUUCUACUUUGCCAAAAGUUACAGAAUUCCUGUUUUUUGGGUUUUUUUUCCUAAAUAUUUAUAAACUGAACUUUGCACAGUAUAUGCUAUGGUGGCACCAAUUUAUGAAAAAUUCCACACAGUUUGUCUCUUGCAAAUUUGCCAGGUCAUGGCAAACUUCUACUAGAAACAUGACUCAGACAUAAGGGAUUUUUCCAACCUCAGAAAGUCAAGCAUUUAUCCUCACAUCAAGCAGUUAUCCUUUAUAUUUAUUUAUUAGAAAAAGAAGUAUUUUAGGCAUUUCACUUAAAACAUAAUAUAUAACAAUUUUGUUUUAUCAGUUAUUUGUAUCUCAAGAGAAAAUUCAGGAAAUAUAUUAGAAGCAAUAGAGAGUAGAAACCUGAUUAUCCAGUCUCUUAUUUUUGCAUUCAUUUAGGUACUUUCACAAGGUGGUUUCUGUGCUGUGUUGCUUAGCAUUGCAAUGCCUAAUUUAGAAGCAUACCCACUGAGACUGGAAUCUGCAGUCAGUGGUAAAUCUCAACUCUCCUGCUAAGCUGGGGAAGCACAUGGGACUUGUCAGGGGAUCACAGCAGUCAGUCUGUCAGAUUGAGAGCUACCAACUAGGCCGAGAGGAGGUGCUGAACGUAAGGGUUUUUAAAUCCUGAACUUUUAAAUCCUGCCAUUACUGGAUGCCUAAAUACUUUAGAUGGCAGACAAAUAUGCAAUUGAAUUUCACAGAUCAAACACCUUUUAGCUCGUGAAGACCACUAAUUGCUUCUGUCCAGUACACUUUAUUAUGAAAUGCAUUUCAAAUCCUUGAAAGGUAGAUGCCCUUCCUACAGACUAGUGCUUGAGUCACGGGGCAACAGAGUUUUGAUUCCUUGCUUGCUCAAUAGCCCCGCAAACUUCUGAACUCUCUUCAUCAAGAAAAGCAGUGAAUUACACACUCAGGUCCCCCCCAAUAUAUCUUUAUGAAGGUAAUUAUGAUGAUGGUACAGAAAUUGGGGGCUGGGAUUUAAACCUUUUCAGGCAAAUUAAUGCUUCUGACUUUCUGGGAGAGCACUUGUAGAGCUGCUGAACCCAUCUUCAGGGCAUCAUACCAAAAAAUUGCCAUUCUAUCCUGCUCCUGAUCUUUUUCCUGCAUCUUCCUCUCCUCCUUAGUCUGCUAGUUCAGAUGUUCAUCUGAAAGUUCUCCUUAAUGGUCCAUUUUAAAUAUAAGAAUCAGAUUUUGAGGAUUAACGUUAUUCUAAAUUGGACAAUUUCCCUGGUCCAUUUCACUGUAUGAUUAUGCAAGGAUUGUCAUUGGCACAGCUGAGGAUCCUGGGCUGCAUCAAAUGAAAGCGUGGCCAGCAGGUUCUGUGGGGUGAUUCCACCUCUCCACUCCACUUUGGUGAGACCCACUAAAAUUUUGCACUCAAUUCUGGGCAGCAGCACAAGAAAGAUAUUAACUUGUUGAACUGUAUCCAAAGGAGGGUCACAAAAAUGGUCACAGGGAUGGAGCACCAGUCCUAUGAGGAAAGGCUGAAAGAGUUGGAGGUGUCCAGCUUGAAGGAAAAAAGGCUCAAGUCUUUUUGUGGCUUUUCAAUACUUAAAAUAAACUUAAAAGAAAAAUGGGGACAGGUUUUUUAGUGGGGCCUGAUAGAACAACUGUUAAGGUUAAGCUAAAAGAGCAUGAGUUCAGACUAGAUAUCAGGAAGAAAUUUUUUACAGUGCACAUGAUGAAACACUGGCACAGAUUGCCGUGAGAAGUGGCUGAUGCCCCAUCCCUGGAAAUAUUCAAGAUCAAGUUAGAUUGGGCUCUGAGCAACCUGAUGUACUUGAAGAUGUUCCUCCUCCUUGCAGGAUCAUCAUAGAUGACCUCUAAAGUUCCCUUACAGCCCAAACCUCCUAUGAUUCUAUGAUCCUCUGGAUAGUGAAUGAGAGGAUGUAAUUAAUAAAUGGUUCUGGGCAGGAGGAAGUAGAAGUCUCUUUAAAACUUCUCUUCAGGUAAAGGAUUUGGAAGUAGAAGUGCGUCUGAAAAGAUAAUGCAGAUUCUUCAGCAAAAGUAUAUACACAGUGAUAUCUGUGAUUAUCCUGCUGAUGACAGUUCUGACUAUGUAAAAAUUUUACCUACUUCAGCCAAAGCAGGUGUUAGAGAGAGGACAUGCUGUUGAAAACAAGCCAAAAAUGUAGUCUACUGAAUCUUCUUUUCUAAGUCAAAAUAGCAAAUGUCCAAUUAGAAACACAAUGUCUGAAACUGAAAUAUUCACUCUUUCUUCUUUGAUUUUUCUAUGGACUAAGAUGAGAUAUUGCCUUAUACUCCUCCUUUAUGCUGUAGAAGUCAUACAACGAUUCUUCAGUGCAACUUUGUUCAGCAGGAAAUCUAGUGGCAGUUUUACAGAUCCUGCUGCUUACUUCUCUGUCAUCAGUUCUCUGUGGUCUUUUCACAUCACUUUGAAGAUUUUCCCCUUUCAGCUUUUUUUCAGAUUUUCUUAUUACUUCAUAUCAAUUAACUCUUGCCAGUGCAUUACAGAACUGAGUUCAUUACCUUAUACAAUAAUUUCUCUUUCCUCUUCAGGGUAGAUUAUAAAGCUCUCCUUUCCAGCUUGUAUUUUGACACUUUAAAAUGCCAGUUGUUAAUUAUAAAGAAAACCAUUGCUAAUGCUUUUAUGCUCUUAUUUCUAGGAAAUUUAAGAAAAAAGAAAAACCCAUACUUAAUUUUAUCUCUUAGCAGAGUGUAUGUGAAGAAAACUUAGUAAUUUUAGACUAUGCAGCACAUAAAUAAUGGAUAAAGAGUGGUUAACUUUUUUAAUUUACUCCGGACUCAGAGACCUGUCAGACAAUAUUUCAUAUGUAAAUGAGAAGUGAAGUGGAAUAAGUACCUGUAUAUAGCAAUCUUUUGACAGAACUGCUCUGACUUUUAAAAUCCUUAUUCUUCUUUUUAUGUUUAGUACACAGAGACAAAUUAGAGGCUGCCUUUACAUCCCUGUCUAUUUGAUAUCAGUACAAGUGAUAAAAAACAAAAAAGAGAAAAGUCAGCUUGCUUCUUGUGCAUAUUAAAUCAUUUUCUAUCUAGAUGCCACAAAACCUUGAAGCUUAGAGUGCUCUGAAACAUCAAUUAUGCAUUAAAAUAAGGAUGUGAUUUUUUAAACUGAAAACUGUAAAUUGGUGUAUAGACUAUGGAGGUACAGAUACAACUAGGAAUGGAGGUUUAAAAACUAUCACACAUUUUACAACAGGCAUAGGGAGAUUUUGCACCUGUGGAACAACUCAGAUAGAAUUUAAUAGGAUAUUCAAAGGAAUAAAUUGGCCAAAAAAUUACUGUAAGCUAGGGGCCCAGAAGAAGGAUCAUCUAGAAAAUAUGUACCAUGGGAUUUUAGGAGAUUCAGAUUAAUUUGGACUGUAUGUGCAACUAUAUUCUAUAAUUAAUAAGGAUUUAAUGAAGAUUCUUUUUUCUAAUUGCUUAAUGCUUGAGUUCUCUUCUGGAUGAAGACCAAUGACCUGUGGUAUAAGACCAAUGCUCAAAGCAAGCCUGUUCCUCCUUUGCUAUGCAGUGCUCUUUCUCCAGCAGGGCAGAAAUGGCCAGGGAGUCUGAUCUCCCAGUUUAACCCAGAUUGCUCCAUUUACAGCCACACACAGCAAAUGGCACAAACAGUCUGAAAGCUGUGGAAAAGACGACCAGGGUCCCAGCUUGCAAGCUCAGCUGAUUUUAAAACAUUUUUAGGAUGCACACUGCAAUGAAUUCCAUCUCCAAACCUAUAUGUAUACAAAUUUAGAACAGAAUAUUUGUGUUCCACCUACUAAAAGGAAGAGGAUGUGUAGGUCCUGAAUUCAAAGUUCAGAUCUAAGUUUUAUAUUCAUGCCUGCUUAUUGGGGAUAUGUAAAAUAAUGUAUCUACAGUGGCAUUCAGAUGAUAGUUCUUUAGUCAACUGAUUGGUAUUUAUCUUAAUGAUAGGGGCUUACCCUUCUCUUACAAUUUUCUUGUGAAAAUGAUGAUUAAGAGAGAAAUAAAGUUCAUGGCUGUAGGAAAAAUUGCUGGCAUGUAAUAUAAUGUAAUUUUAUAUAAAAUUAGUUUUUAAUGUCAAGAACUUUAUAUUGUUUGGCAAAUAGCUUUUCUUUGUCAGUUAAAUAAUGUAGACAUUUAAAACAAAAUCUAGAAUAUACUUUUUCUUUAAAAUUCUUUUUACUCUUCAUUCAGAACUUUUCUUUUUGCAAACCUUGCAAUUAAAUACUGCAGCAAUAUUCAGAACAGAUUUGCUGCAUGUAUAAAACUCUUACUUCUUAGCAACAUAACUAAUUCUUAAUUUUGCUACCCAUCCUACUGCUUCUUCAGGAGGAAAAAGUCAAAGUAUUAAUGACGUUGUCCAUGUGGGAGCUUAAUAUACACUUGAAUGCUUUUAUUAAGGCAUUUAAAAAUUAUCUAAUUACCAAAAUUGGCCGCAAAUUAUCAUUGUUAGCAGGAAAGAGCCCCAUGUUUUAGGAAGUGCUACAAAAGUGAAGUCAGCACACGACUUUUAUAAUCUCUGUGAUGUUGCAUACAUCUCUCCUUGCCUCACUAAGGGGGCAGCAACAGCAAGAACAAGGCACUGGACAUGUAGAUUUUUGUUGUGUCACUAUUCCUUUGUGAGUUCAUAAACAAACAGAUAAGGCUUUGCAGGUAGAUAAUCAGCCAUGGAAACUCCUCUGCACACCUCCCAGCAAGAUGCCUUUUGCAGAGAGUAAGUUUUCAAGGAUGUCAGAAGAGAACAGGAUAAAUUUCAAAUUGCUGGUAUCAGAUAUGGUGGCUGUUCCUUUUGGGUCAAUAAGUACACAGGCUCCUCUAUAAAGUUUUUUGCCAACAUAGGAUUCAAAAAAGUUGGGUAAUUCUCGUAAAUGCUUUUUUCUCACUUCAUAAACUACGCUGUCCACAGGUGAAAAACUCUUCUGAAAUAUAAGAUUUUCUUCUUGCUGAGCAAAAUAAUUAGAAUUUCUUUUCUAUGCCUAUUAAAUGUAUAUAUUUUACAACUUUUGUGUACCAUUAGCCUAAUAUUUUACAAUACAUUUCAUGAAACUUAAAAUUAUUUAAUAGCCUUUUUGCUCAUUUUUUUAAUCUAUGAUACAGAAAAGAAGCUAAUGAAUUAUGGAGGGGUUCCCUCUUCAGGAGAAAAAUCUCAGCCUUACCCUGAGAGCCAGUUUUGGGAUACUGAUAUUAUGAUCUAAAUAUGGUUUAAAGUCACUUUUUGCAGCAGCUCAUUUCUGAUGGAAGCCUAAGGGUUUGAAAUAUUGGCAGCACUAUUUCCCCUGUGCUUAAUGCUAUAAAAUCCCCAUAUAAAAUUGGUUAAAUAUAGGUAGUAAAAGUCUUGGGGAUUUUUUAAUUUCUCUUGAGACACAACUGCCUGUUCCUCAGGGCUGUUUGUAGUUUUGUCUUGGAUUUGGAAGGAGUUCCACUGUGUAAUGGCAGUAACUCUAGUCAAGACAUGGCUUGAAAAAAUAUAUAUUCAGCAGUGUACUCCACAGGAGAUGAAUAAAGAGCUGAAGAAAAUUGGCUGUAGAUCAAAAAUGCAUGGUAAAUUCAUAGCUGAAAGUGCUUACCGGCCAGAUGGAAAGGUUUCCAUGAACAUGUUUUGAAGGCAGUCUCCCUACAUUUUCUAAGGUAUUGUUUAACACUGUUAGACUUCUUUGACCAUCAGUAUGGGAUUUAGAGAGUCCAGGCAGCUUAGUAUGUAAAAUGGAACUGGUCCUAAUAGGCCCAUAAGGGAGUUGGUAUGGUCUGUGAUACCUGGGAACCACAGACCACACCAACUCCACUGUGUUUAGGAUGGAGCAAUGGACAUGCUUGUUUUGCAAACUGGGCUGGAUGUAGUCGGGUGCCAUGUCUAAUUUAGUCAGAGAUCAGACCAGUUCAACACCAGGAGUGCUAGGGCAGAGAUUCAGACGUGGCAGAUCCCAUACACAUUGGACUCACUAGUCCAAAGUGGUGGCAUAUUUGUUGGUUUCAUGCAUUGCACACAAAUGUCUUGUGUGCCACUCAGAAAUAUGGAAGACAUGACAUUUACUUUUUUAUUUUUUUAUUAUAUAUGAAAUGUUAAAAAAAUAUUAUUUUUUUUUACACAUGAAAUGCCAACAUUCAAUCUCUGAGGUGCACAGUCUAAGCCCAGGCUAAUAGCAAGGAAGACUGAAUGAGCUUUGAAUUUCACAGACUCAAAUAUCCACCUCACUAGCACUUUAAACACAAAAAGGGGCUGACAGGAUGACAAAGUUGCAACAGGGAGAAGAAAAACAAUAGAAACAAACAUAAGGCCAUUUUUUAAAUGGUUCAUUUCAUUUACACACAGAACAGGCUGAAGAUGUAGCUGUGACCCAGGAUUGUGCUCCAGGCAACCUGAAUUUAAUUUAGUCAGGAAAAACAGUUUAUUAAUAGUGAAAAUAGCAAAAAAAAAGAAAAAAAUCAACCCAAAAGCUAUUAAUUUUUAAUAACUUAAUUUUCAUUCAGUUGGCUUCGGGAUGCCAGGGAGGAAGGGGUGCUGUUUCAUUCUUUCUUUGAAAAGCACAGGGUUUUUAAAUCUCAUUUAAUGUUGUCUCCUUUUGAAGACUAGAAAAUUUUCUGCUGGAGUGAGAACUUGCUGUAUAGCAGGACCUCCACAAAUAAGGAGCAUUUAUUUUCCUCCUUUCUACCUUAAACUAUUUCCUACAUUUAAAUUUUUUUUUUACUUUCCCUGGUAUAGGUACAGGACCUUAGUCCCAAUGCUUCCCUGAAACUUCUGAAGUAAGAUCUGCAGUGGUAUCAUCCCACUGUGUUUUCUUCCAUAGUUUAAAAGCAGACUUCUGUUUUUCAGACAGCCAGACUCAACUUGUACCUGUGUGAAUGGGAGAGACUCCACUAGUCAUGUGCUCCUACUAGCACAUACAAUUUUACACAAGCACUAAUCUACCAAACCUUUGAGGAAACGAAAACAGCACAAAACCCAACCCUGCAAUUCCUCUAAACAUGCAUCUAAAAUCUUGAAGUCCACAAGAAAGCUGGAGAUAAAUAGACAGAUAAUAUUAAAUUAUCCAAUCUUAUUGUGGCUGAAGUGAACUGCAUUUAGAAAUAAAGCAUUGAAUUUAGGUGUCUUUAUGCCACUAUUCCAUAAAAUCUGCAACUGAAAAGACGGACAAUUUGAUCUCAAGUCCUUUGAGUGCUGGUGGUCAGGACAGCAGCUCUAUUCCCACAACUUGUUUGGCUUGGUGUACUGGCAACAAUUUGUAUCUACAUUAUUGCAUUCUUUUAUAUAUUCCAUUGCAAAAAAACCCAAAAAACAAAAACAAAAAAAACACCAAAACCAAAAACCCACCUAAAGUAAACAACAA